GGAGAUAUAGCUCAGUGGUAGAGUACUUGCCCGGUAAGCAGGAGGCCCUGGGUUCAAUCCCUAGUACCACCA